AUGAACGCUGGCGGCGUGCCUAAUACAUGCAAGUCGAGCGAACAGACGAGGAGCUUGCUCCUCUGACGUUAGCGGCGGACGGGUGAGUAACACGUGGAUAACCUACCUAUAAGACUGGGAUAACUUCGGGAAACCGGAGCUAAUACCGGAUAAUAUAUUGAACCGCAUGGUUCAAUAGUGAAAGACGGUUUUGCUGUCACUUAUAGAUGGAUUCGCGCCGCAUUAGCUAGUUGGUAAGGUAACGGCUUACCAAGGCAACGAUGCGUAGCCGACCUGAGAGGGUGAUCGGCCACACUGGAACUGAGACACGGUCCAGACUCCUACGGGAGGCAGCAGUAGGGAAUCUUCCGCAAUGGGCGAAAGCUUGACGGAGCAACGCCGCGUGAGUGAUGAAGGUCUUCGGAUCGUAAAACUCUGUUAUUAGGGAAGAACAAAUGUGUAAGUAACUAUGCACGUCUUGACGGUACCUAAUCAGAAAGCCACGGCUAACUACGUG
rnacentral:rRNA from 1 species